AGCCCUCAGCUGCAUUGCAAAUGUCAACACCACCUACUGAACAACAGUUUAUACAGCCUAUUCCAGUUGCAGACACGGUGUCAAUACCACCACAUGAACAUCAUUGCACUGAACUUUUCACUGUUGCCAAUAAGCCCAAAGAGAACAACAAAGGCGAUGGCCCCUUCCUGUCAGCUACAACAUCAGCUCAUAAAUUACCUUCUUCUAG